UUUAGGACUCAGCCCACCUGCACCCAGGUGAUUAAAAAGCUUUAUUGCUCACACAAAGCCUGUUGGUGGUCUCUUUACAUGGAUGCACAAGACACUCUUGACUUUGAUUUUCUGCAGUAUGAAUAUGGGACAUGCAUGAAAUUUGGUGCCGUGACUCAGAUCGGGGGACCUCCUUUGGGAGAUCAAUCCCCUGUCCUCCUGAUCUUUACUCCAUGAGAAAGAUCCACCUACAACCUCAAGUCCUCAGACUGACCAGCCCAAGAAACAUCUCACCAAUUUCAAAUCCGGACCCUACUGAAAAUCAGACUGUUCAACUCACCUGGCAGCCACUCCCAGAGCCCCUGGAACUCUGGCCCAAGGCUCUCUGACUGACUCCUUCCCAGAUCUUCUCAGCUUAGCAGCUGAAGACUGACACUGCCCAAUCGCCUCAGAAGCCUACAGGACCAUCACAGAUGCUCUAGACUCAGCCCGCCUGCACCCAGGUGAAAUAAACAGCCAUGUUGCUCACACAAAGCCUGUUUGGUGGUCUCUUCACACGGAUGUGCAUGAAACUACCUACACCCAUACGGAAGGGAACAAAUCAUGAAAAGUAAUGGAAUGCUACAGCCUAGUCAGUUUUGAGAAAAGGCUAACCAACAACAACAACAACAAAUCAUAGUCAUGCUCAGAUUGCACAUGAACAAAAAAAUGUUGGAGAGAAACCAUUGAAAUAACUCACCGGUCCUCUUGUGUUGCUGCUUAUCUGAUUAUCUGAGGUCAAGGGAACUGAGGACAACAAAGGAAAUUAGGUCUUUCAUAGUUCUCAUUAAAUGCUGGAGGAGUCUGACUACUGCUGAGCUGAGCACUUCAGCGGCUUUGGAAAAGGAAGUGUGGUUACUUAUUUC
ensembl:lncRNA IADEN IGF2BP1 associated definitive endoderm lncRNA